rnacentral:rRNA from 1 species
GAUGAACGCUGGCGGCGUGCCUAAUACAUGCCAGUCGAGCGAACGGACGAGAAGCUUGCUUCUCUGAUGUUAGCGGCGGACGGGUGAGUAACACGUGGAUAACCUACCUAUAAGACUGGGAUAACUUCGGGAAACCGGAGCUAAUACCGGAUAAUAUUUUGAACCGCAUGGUUCAAACGUGAAAGACGGUCUUGCUGUCACUUAUAGAUGGAUCCGCGCUGCAUUAGCUAGUUGGUAAGGUAACGGCUUACCAAGGCUACGAUGCAUAGCCGACCUGAGAGAGUGAUCGCACACCCGGGCACAGAGACACAGCCCCGACUCUUACGGGAGGCAGCAGUAGGGAAUCUUCCGCAAUGCACGAAUGCCUGACGGAGCAACGCCGCGGGAGGGAUGAAGGUCUUCGGAUCGUAAAGCGCUGUUAUUAGGGAAGAACAUAUGUGUAAGUAACUGGGCACAUCAUGACAGUACCUAAUCAGAAAGCCACGGCUAACUACGUG